rnacentral:rRNA from 1 species
GACGAACGCUGGCGGCGUGCUUAACACAUGCAAGUCGAGCGGUAAGGCCCUUCGGGGUACGACGAGCGGCGAACGGGUGAGUAACACGUGGGUGACCUGCCCUUAGCUCUGGGAUAAGCCUGGGAAACUGGGUCUAAUACCGGAUAUGACCUCAUGACGCAUGUUGUGGGGUGGAAAGCCUUGUGCGGCUAGGGAUGGGCCCGCGGCCUAUCAGCUUGUUGGUGGGGUGAUGGCCUACCAAGGCGACGACGGGUAGCCGGCCUGAGAGGGCGACCGGCCACACUGGGACUGAGACACGGCCCAGACUCCUACGGGAGGCAGCAGUGGGGAAUCUUGCGCAAUGGGCGAAAGCCUGACGCAGCGACGCCGCGUGAGGGAUGACGGCCU